CGGCAUGUCCAAAGAGUACAGUUUAUGAUUACAUUAUAAAAGAGAACAAUAACAAAACGUAGACAAAUAAAAUGUGAGUUACAUAGCAAAUGAUGUGUAAAACAUGAACCCCCAAUUCAUCGUAACUCGAUACGAAAUAUAUCAAACAAAAAUAAGCAUAUAAACAUACAAAAUUGAAAAAGAAUGCAAGAUAAAGAUCGUGAACUUAACCGGUGAAAAUCGCAAAUUGGUUGAAUUCCACAUUUAAUGAAUUACACCACCUAUAUGAGAUCGUCAUCCCACCGAGUAUUCCAGCACCGUUUCGAGUCCACAUUUUGAUAUAAGCUUGUCUCUGAACAAGACCCAGGGCGUCGUCGGGAAGAGUUUCAG
rnacentral:lncRNA from 1 species